AUGGAAGAAGAUCAAGUUAAAUUAGCAGCACUCAUCGCGGAGCUAGAGGAGCCAGUAGGUCUUUGUGACUUGCCAGCAAUUGACCCUCCUAAUACUAAGAGAAAUAAGGGAAGGGAAAUAAAGAAUUUUUCUCAGUGGAUAGAGAAAGAGCCUCCAGUGAAUUGGUCUUUGCUGCAUGACACACAUGGAGCUAGGUAUGGCCACAUGACAACCAAUCUUGCAGAGGUGUAUAACUUUGUGCUGAGAGGGAAUAGAGCAUUGCCACUCACAGCUAUUGUGGAGGCUGUAUUCCAUGUCACUUUGAGAUAUUUUAGAGAAAGGCACGAGUUAGCAAAGAAGCAUAUUGAAGAUAAUCAGAACACACCUUAUCGUAGCCAUGUCAUGGAAUACAUGGCAAAGAAGAUAGAGAAAGCAAAGAAGCACACUGUCAGACUCAUAGGGAAUCAAGAAAGGAGGUAUGAGGUUCAGCUUCCUACCGAUGGUUUUGGUUCUGGAAAUGAGGUGAAGACACACGAGGUAAAAAUUGGAACGGAAUUUUAUCCAACGUGUGAGUGUACAUGCAACAAACCGAAGUUGUUGCACCUACCUUGCUCUCAUGUGUUGGCUGCCUGUGGCCAGAUUGAGUUGGAUGCUAUAUCCUUCGUGUCCCCAUACUAUUUAAAAGAGGCAGUGCUCAACACCUGGACAGGCGAGAUGACAGGGUUUAGAGUCGUCGGCAAUUUCAACAAGGUAAACGACGGUGAGAGAGUAUACAUCCCGCAUCCAGACCUUCGGUGA
rnacentral:rRNA from 1 species